GCAGGACACGGAAAUUACAGCGACCUUCAUAACUUAGUAGCUCCAUGGCCAGCAAUUUGUGAGAGCUCUCAAGUGAGGGGCCUGCAGGCGUCCACCGCCGGGGGGUCAUCAAGGAAAACAUCUGGAAACAAAAAAAGGAAAGAGCGUGAAGAAUUCUGUGGUGUGUGAAGAGGAUAACCAUAAUCUGCAUCCACAAGCUAACUUCUCUGCCGCCGUUCGCCUGGACGAGCAGACCCAGUGAUGCUAAGCUCUCUAUUAGAGUCGUGCCUGCAAAAGGUCCCCUCAUUUGAAUAAGGCCUCUUCUGCAUGUGAAAGACUGCCAGUGAAACUGAGCAGCCCUCUAAUUAGGGUUGCACUUGGAAGCAGGGGCCUUCAGUGUUCCCUUUUUGUGAUGCUAAAUUGUCAAAUAUUUUCAAAUGCAUUGCCAUUUCCAUUAAACAUUUUUGUUCUAA